rnacentral:lncRNA from 1 species
AAUUUUUCAACAUUAGUCAGGCUCUUCUUUUCAACAUAUUGUGCAACCAAGUAUUCUUUGAUUCUCGUUCUUUCAAUACCCAUAUUUAAUUUUCAUAUUGUUCAAGGGAGACAUUAAGUCAGAGACUCUAUACAUAUUCUUUUCAACCUAAUUUUUCAAUUUUUCAACAUUAGUCAGGCUCUUCUUUUCAACAUAUUGUGCAACCAAGUAUUCUUUGAUUCUCGUUCUUUCAAUACCCAUAUUUAAUUUUCAUAUUGUUCAAGGGAGACAUUAAGUCAGAGACUCUAUACAUAUUCUUUUCAACCUAAUUUUUCUAGGCUUCUAUUCUUACAAGAAACUAUACACUAUGCUAUAGCACGGUUUUCCAUGAACACCACCAACACCUUAGGUGAUGCCCUAGUGCAGACCAAACUCAUUUUGUAUGGUAACUUGCAUGUUGUGGUUUACAAC